AUAGCCGGCGCGCGUGAAAGUGUAGUAUCUGUUCCUAUCAACUUAAUAUCUAAUACAGGUUGUAUUGUUGUAUUGGGGCCUAAGAUAUUAUAGUUAUGUUUGCAAUUUGGCGGAGUGCUUAACGCCUGCUUCACCUCCGCCGCGGUUCGGCCUAGUAUUGCACUAUCUUCGUGAUCGGUCAAGGUAUG